CCUAGGAGGCUUAAUUAAAAGUCCCACAUCUUCAUUCCCAAACAACACAUCCUGCUCUGAGGGCCUUCAGGUGAUUACAACUCGGCUAAUUUAACAGGAACAAAAAGCUUUUAGUACAUGCUGAUCCAGUCCGGGUUGGCGAUGCUGGCGAUGGCGAAGAUGUCUGCAGCGAGGAAGAGGCAUCCUGAAAUCACGGCAAACCAACUCAUCUCUUCAUUCUUAGACCCAAAACCACACUGACUGGACCCAGCCAACCCUUCCUCUUCACUCCCCCAACAUACAUGGAUGUCUUUGAGGGAGUGUGCGGCCCCUGGAGACAGCUUGAGGCCAGCCAGUGGAUGAGCAAGAGACUGGCGUGUUCUGGCAGCCACAUGGAAGUGUCUCUGUGGAGAAGAAACAACACAUCAACAACCACUGACCUGCACAUCCUGCGGCUGAAACUUAACAUGUUCAGCAGCGGUGAACUCCACCUUACGGGCCGCCUGGGCCGCGUAAAGCCUUGUCUGGAAAAAUAGAAAACAUGGGAAGGAGGGCCAUUACAGCUAAUGUGUUGCUGGCUUGCUGAUUGACUGUUGGGGAAGGAGGAAAUUCAGAGGAAUGUAACAUUGUGAAUUGAUAAUAGAUAAACACACAGGUGACAAAGGAAGGGGUCUAUUUUAAAGAUCAUUUCCAUAUCAUUUAGAGUUGGCAAACUAUUUGGUCAUAUUGCAAAGAGUUAUUAAGAGUAUUACAGAAGAUGGUUGUGUAGUUCUACUCUUCCUUCACGACAACCUUCUAAGCAAUAUGGAUGCUCAUCAAUUCAAGAUAUAACAGGAGCCAGCAAAAAUAUGUUUUCUAGUAAUUACCACUGAAGUUACUUUAGAUAGAAGACAAAAUAAUCUCAAAGAAGUAAAUCGAGUAUCUUUUCGUGAGCUUUCAAAUAAACUUCACCCAACAAAAUAUACGUUUUAUGAACACAUGAGGUAUAUUGUUGUCAACAUCUAUUUAAUGUUACAAUCUGUUUAUAUGAAUGUGUCACACAACAGGUCAACAUUCGUUGUGGAUGCCUAUUUUAGAACACAAGAAGCUAGCUCCCACUUUUUAAGUUUUUAAGGUGAUUAAUAAGGCAGAUCAAACCUAAUUUUAAGUUAGCAGUAAGCUUAAAUGUCCAUAACGACCAGUGCUGUCUAAUGUUUGUUAUGCAAGCUAAUGUUAUCAGUUAGGUUACUGCUGGUUAGCAUGAGGUUAGCAUUAGCUGUUCCUCCUCUGGUCUUCAUCACACCUUGACCCUGAGCUUUUAGACUCUCCAACAAUCACACAAAGACUGAAACACACGGCUAAUGUUCGUAUAUCUCUGUAACCACACAUAUAUAUAGGAUGAGAUAGAGAAAUCCUCACCGAAAGCUGACUAAUUCCCCGAAUCCCCUUCAUCUCCCCUCUCUCCUUCAGGAAAUCUAAGCAAUAUGGCCGCCGUGUGUGCCCUACCCAGAAUGCCUAGCGCGUUCCUUGCCGGCAGGCGUACCGCUGAGCCAACGAGCGGGCGCCCUCUGUUGCCAAGGAGACGAAUAGAGUUUGACAAGACCUCAAAUUAUGACUUAUUUUAAAAAAUAUAUGUAAACUAUGUUGUCCUCACUCUUGUUUACAUUUUAGCACGAUGUCUUUACACUAAUAAUAUAUUGUUUUAAUUAUUUACUUACUUUUCUACCAAAGUCAGUGGCAUCAUAUCGAUCUGUACUACUGUCAUAUUAACCUCUGAAAUGUCCCAAUUGACCAAUCAGAAUCGAGUAUUCAACUAAGCCACGUAAUAAUGCUAUUAAUU